CCAAUAGCGUAUAUUAAAGUUGUUGCAGUUAAAAAGCUCGUAGUUGAACUUCGGGAUCUGCCCAUUGGUCAGGCUUAAUUGUCUGUACUGGUGAGUUGGAUCUCUACCUUCUGAAGAACUUUCAUGCCAUUUAUUUGGUGUGGUGGGGAAUCAGGACUGUUACUUUGAAAAAAUUAGAGUGUUUAAAGCAGGCUAACGUCUGAAUACAUUAGCAUGGAAUAAUGAAAUAGGACGGUAUGGUUCUAUUUCGUUGGUUUCUAGGAUCACCGUAAUGAUUAAUAGGGAUAGUUGGGGGCAUUAGUAUUCAAUUGUCAGAGGUGAAAUUCUUGGAUUUAUUGAAGACUAACUACUGCGAAAGCAUUUGCCAAGGAUGUUUUCAUUAAUCAAGAACGAAAGUUAGGGGAUCGAAGACGAUCAGAUACCGUCGUAGUCUUAACCAUAAACUAUGCCGACUAGGGAUCGGACGAAGUUAAUUUUAUAAUGACUCGUUCAGCACCUUACG
rnacentral:rRNA from 1 species